rnacentral:rRNA from 1 species
UACGUAGGGGCCUAGCGUUGUCCGGAAUUAUUGGGCGUAAAGAGCUCGUAGGCGGUUCGGCAAGUCGGAUGUGAAAUCUCCACGCUUAACGUGGAGGGGCCAUUCGAAACUGCUGUGACUCGAGUCCGGUAGGGGAGUGUGGAAUUCCCGGUGUAGCGGUGAAAUGCGCAGAUAUCGGGAGGAACACCAGUGGCGAAGGCGACUACCUGGCACGUAACUGACGCUCAUACACGACAGCAUGGGGAGCGAACGGG